GCGAACGCUGGCGGCAGGCUUCACACAUGCAAGUCGAGCGGGCAUAGCAAUAUGUCAGCGGCAGACGGGUGAGUAACGCGUGGGAACGUACCUUUUGGUUCGGAACAACUGAGGGAAACUUCAGCUAAUACCGGAUAAGCCCUCACGGGGAAAGAUUUAUCGCCGAAAGAUCGGCCCGCGUCUGAUUAGCUAGUUGGUGAGGUAAUGGCUCACCAAGGCGACGAUCAGUAGCUGGUCUGAGAGGAUGAUCAGCCACAUUGGGACUGAGACACGGCCCAAACUCCUACGGGAGGCAGCAGUGGGGAAUAUUGGACAAUGGGCGCAAGCCUGAUCCAGCCAUGCCGCGUGAGUGAUGAAGGCCCUAGGGUUGUAAAGCUCUUUUGUGCGGGAAGAUAAUGACGGUACCGCAAGAAUAAGCCCCGGCUAACUUCGUG
rnacentral:rRNA from 1 species